GACGAACGCUGGCGGCGUGCUUAACACAUGCAAGUCGAACGGAAAGGCCCUGCUUGCAGGGUACUCGAGUGGCGAACGGGUGAGUAACACGUGGGUGAUCUGCCCUGCACUUCGGGAUAAGCUUGGGAAACUGGGUCUAAUACCGGAUAGGAACCAUCUUUAGUGUGGUGGUUGGAAAGUUUUUUCGGUGUAGGAUGAGCUCGCGGCCUAUCAGCUUGUUGGUGGGGUAAUGGCCUACCAAGGCGGCGACGGGUAGCCGGCCUGAGAGGGUGUACGGCCACAUUGGGACUGAGAUACGGCCCAGACUCCUACGGGAGGCAGCAGUGGGGAAUAUUGCACAAUGGGCGCAAGCCUGAUGCAGCGACGCCGCGUGGGGGAUGAAGGCCUUCGGGUUGUAAACUCCUGUCGCUAGGGACGAAGCGUUGUUGUGACGGUACCUAGAUAAGAAGCACCGGCUAACUACGUG
rnacentral:rRNA from 1 species